GGAUUUUUUUGGAUUUUUUUUUUAUUUUUAACCCCUUCCCCCCCGAUUCCUCCGCAGGCCCCACCCGGCGGGAAAAUCCCUGGCUCCCGAGGGCGUGUACGGGAACUCGCGGAUGCUGCACGUGCUGACCGCCGGCGUGGGCUCCACGGCCGAGGUCAGAGUUCGCAGCGGCCGAACCUUCGAGGGCAUUUUCCGCACCCUCAGCGCCAAGUUCGAGCUGGCCCUGGACGCCGUUCACCGACGCCCCGCCCCCGGCCCCGCCCCCGGCCCCGCCCCCUCCUCAUUAACCCCGCCC